UACAGAGGUCUCAAGCGUUGUUCGGAUUCAUUGGGCGUAAAGGGCGCGUAGGCGGCGGGGUAAGUCUGGUGUGAAAUCUCGGAGCUCAACUCCGAAAUUGCACUGGAUACUGCUCUGCUUGAGGGUUGGAGAGGAGAUCGGAAUUCACGGUGUAGCAGUGAAAUGCGUAGAUAUUGGGAAGAACACCGGUGGCGAAGGCGGCGCUCUGGACCGAGACUGACGCUGAGGCGCGAAAGCGUGGGGAGCAAACAGG
rnacentral:rRNA from 1 species